CCCCGGCGAGGGGAGUGAAAAAGAACCUGAAACCGUGUACGUACAAGCAGUGGGAGCACCCUUCGGGGUGUGACUGCGUACCUUUUGUAUAAUGGGUCAGCGACUUAUAUUCUGUAGCAAGGUUAACCGAAUAGGGGAGCCGGAGGGAAACCGAGUCUUAAUUGGGCGUUAAGUUGCAGGGUAUAGACCCGAAACCCGGUGAUCUAGCCAUGGGCAGGUUGAAGGUUGGGUAACACUAACUGGAGGACCGAACCGACUAAUGUUGAAAAAUUAGCGGAUGACCUGUGGCUGGGGGUGAAAGGCCAAUCAAACCGGGAGAUAGCUGGUUCUCCCCGAAAGCUAUUUAGGUAGCGCCUCGUGAAUUCAUCUCCGGGGGUAGAGCACUGUUUCGGCUAGGGGGCCAUCCCGGCUUACCAACCCGAUGCAAACUGCGAAUACCGGAGAAUGUUAUCACGGGAGACACACGGCGGGUGCUAACGUCCGUCGUGAAGAGGGAAACAACCCAGACCGCCAGCUAAGGUCCCAAAGUCAUGGUUAAGUGGGAAACGAUGUGGGAAGGCCCAGACAGCCAGGAUGUUGGCUUAGAAGCAGCCAUCAUUUAAAGAAAGCGUAAUAGCUCACUGGUCGAGUCGGCCUGCGCGGAAGAUGUAACGGGGCUAAACCAUGCACCGAAGCUGCGGCAGCGACACUGUGUGUUGUUGGGUAGGGGAGCGUUCUGUAAGCCUGUGAAGGUGUGUCGUGAGGCAUGCUGGAGGUAUCAGAAGUGCGAAUGCUGACAUAAGUAACGAUAAAGCGGGUGAAAAGCCCGCUCGCCGGAAGACCAAGGGUUCCUGUCCAACGUUAAUCGGGGCAGGGUGAGUCGACCCCUAAGGCGAGGCCGAAAGGCGUAGUCGAUGGGAAACGGGUUAAUAUUCCCGUACUUGGUGUUACUGCGAAGGGGGGACGGAGAAGGCUAUGUUGGCCGGGCGACGGUUGUCCCGGUUUAAGCGUGUAGGUGUGUGUUCCAGGUAAAUCCGGUUCACUUUAACACUGAGGCGUGACGACGAGGCACUACGGUGCUGAAGCAACAAAUGCCCUGCUUCCAGGAAAAGCCUCUAAGCAUCAGGUAACAUCAAAUCGUACCCCAAACCGACACAGGUGGUCAGGUAGAGAAUACCAAGGCGCUUGAGAGAACUCGGGUGAAGGAACUAGGCAAAAUGGUGCCGUAACUUCGGGAGAAGGCACGCUGACACGUAGGUGAAGUGAUUUACUCAUGGAGCUGAAGUCAGUCGAAGAUACCAGCUGGCUGCAACUGUUUAUUAAAAACACAGCACUGUGCAAACACGAAAGUGGACGUAUACGGUGUGACGCCUGCCCGGUGCCGGAAGGUUAAUUGAUGGGGUCAGCGCAAGCGAAGCUCCUGAUCGAAGCCCCGGUAAACGGCGGCCGUAACUAUAACGGUCCUAAGGUAGCGAAAUUCCUUGUCGGGUAAGUUCCGACCUGCACGAAUGGCGUAAUGAUGGCCAGGCUGUCUCCACCCGAGACUCAGUGAAAUUGAACUCGCUGUGAAGAUGCAGUGUACCCGCGGCAAGACGGAAAGACCCCGUGAACCUUUACUAUAGCUUGACACUGAACAUUGAGCCUUGAUGUGUAGGAUAGGUGGGAGGCUUUGAAGCGUGGACGCCAGUCUGCGUGGAGCCGACCUUGAAAUACCACCCUUUAAUGUUUGAUGUUCUAACGUGGACCCGU
rnacentral:rRNA from 1 species